UUGAACAUCCGACCUCAGGUUUAUCAGACCUGCGCUCUAACCACCCGAGCUAUGAUCCC
rnacentral:tRNA from 1 species